rnacentral:lncRNA from 1 species
GACAACAGGCUCGCAGUCACCGGAGCAGCAGUGCACUACUGACAGACAACGUGCAGAAAAUUGAAAGAAGAUAAAAAUCACACACAGCUAAAUGAACCAGAGAAAAGAACGAAGGUGGAUUUUGGAUGGCGCCCUUGCUUUCCGAUGGGCAGACUUGUUGCGUAGCAAACCUUUGCUGGUCUUCAGACCCCCAUCCAAGGUUAAGGGCCUGACCUUUGACAGAGGGACACUUAUCAGGCGAUGGGAAGAGGCGGCAGGGGGCUCAGAUGCUCCCACGCCACCACAGUUCACCUCGAUCUGUGACCCGGGAGUGCGCCUGUUCCGCAGCUGCUCUAACUCAGCCUGGAACCGGCCGCGCUUGCCGGGUCCAGCCACUGAGCCACCCGGUCCACGGAACCCUAGACAGGCGCGUAGGAGCCCCGCCG